AUGGACUUCAGUAAAGGCAGAGAAUUAUCUGGAUCAGUUACUGAUGUCAACAUCGUUUGCAGCCUUGAUGUCUGCGAGGACCUUGACAAGCCAGUGCCCGGGGGGAUAUCUGAAGUGUCGAAUAAAUGUGUUGAUCUGAACUGCUCUAGGAAAAAACUUAGCAAGGACAAGAUGGUCUUGGACUGCGAGUCCCUGGGGACAAGUGACGCAGCUAGUGCGAAUUCCCGGUGCACACAACCCUUGAGCCAUUCAUCUGAGUUUCCAUGUCCUUCUCGGAUACUAAGAAACUGUUUGGUGUUUGCUGAACAUAGUGGGGCCAAGGCUUUGCGUGCCCAGCUAGCAAAAUCAAGCAUCAGGCCGAGCCACUUGACUAUGGAAGAGUUAUAUGUGGUGAAAAUUGGUGCAGUCAUCAAGCUAUCUUCCCAAAAGUCUUUUGACCCCAUUUGCUUUAUUGGGGGUCACAUGUCCCAGAUCAAUCACAGGUGGCUGUGGUCUGUGGAGGAGCUUCCUGCGGUUUCUCUUGCUCACGUUUACAAUUGCAAAGUUGGCAUGAUGCGAGAGAAGCAACAUAGAGCUGGAAAAUCUGGCGUUGUUGCUUUAUUAUUCAGUAACUCUCGGCUGUCGGUGCAAGUUUCUGAAUGUGAGCGGCAGGCGUGUAUGUCUAGACAGGCCAGGCCUGUCUGUCAGGGAGGCUGGGCCGAUGCUGGAUGCACAACCUGGAGUGCAUUCUGCUGCUGUCACUGCAGCAUACAAUUCAGGCGAGUUUGUUCGGACAUGAGCUUACCAUUCUGGGUUCAUCUGUGGCUUCAACUUUGCAGAUGCUGUAAAUGUCGCUACCCUGGACUGGCUGCCCAUGGACAAUGUGCUGUUGAGCUUACAGAGAUCAGCCGUCCAAGACAUCAAUAUCACAUGACAAGUUAUUGCUCACAACUGCAGAAGCAGCUCUCAGACAUGGACGAACCUUCACAACUGCAAGAGUGCAGAAGAAGAUGGACUUCAUUCAGUAGAAGCACAGAAUUAUCUGGAUCAGUUAUCGAUGCCGACAUCGAUUGCGGCUUUGAUGCCUGGCAGGAGCCCAGGACCUUGACAAGCCAGCGCCCAGCGGGAUAUCCGAAGUGCAGAAUAUGUGUUGAUCUGAAAGGUCUAUCAACUAGUCCUAGAACAGAAGAAGAGCCAAAACUGGUGCAGGCAGCCAUCAAGCCAUUCUCCCCAAAGGAUUUAGGAGUCGAGAGACAUUUCGCGGCGCACCAGACCCAAGAAUAUGCUGCUGCGUUUCAGAAGCUGUUGUUGCUGGGCUUAUCAGACCGAUGUUUAGGGACGGGCCAGGCCUGUCAGUCCUCAGGGGGAGGAAAGAUGAGCUGGGCCGGGCCGGUACUGGACGCGCGAAUUGAACCACAGCAUGCUGCUGCGGGGGGGCCGCGCCGGCCACGCCCAAGAUCUAUCUAUACCCAUAGGCGACCGGCGACGAGAGAGCUGUCAGCUGCCCCUGCAAAGGAACCAACGAACAAACCAGACGAGCUCAGCCCAGCCUGCCUACCUGCUACUGCUAAACCAUCUUCGUUUCCAAGUGCCAAACACGUGGUGGACUGCGCUUUCGCCGUCCAAAUCUCGCUCGCCGGACACCCGCCAUUUUCCCUCUCUUUCAUUCACUGA
rnacentral:rRNA from 1 species